rnacentral:lncRNA from 1 species
UUCUAUAGUCAUCAACAGCCUUGUCCAAUGUGCUCCUCACAUGCUGGCACGUCAACAUCAACUUCUGACAUGCAAGAAGUCGAAACUCGAAAAACAGAAACGGGAAACGGAAAAGAAAAUUGCAGUAGCUGCAUAAUCACUUAAGAGGUCGAGGUCUUGGAAACAAUUCAAUCACUCGAAGAUAGAUGUUUCAUGUAGCAACAAGACUCUGCUAUUGAUUGAUUAAACGGAACCGUGCUCCAUUCCUAUCUUCAGCAACAACAAAAAAAAAAAUUAACAACAUUUUCUUUCAUUAUUAUUUUUAAGGUUAGAUAGAGAGCAUCCCGUCUCCUUACCUGCUUAUUACUAUUGACGGUCUGAUUUCUGUGCUUCUGGUUUUCUUCACUCUUCUUCUUCACUUGUUAUGGCCCCCAA